GAUGAACGCUGGCGGCGUGCUUAACACAUGCAAGUCGAACGAUGAAGCCCAGCUUGCUGGGUGGAUUAGUGGCGAACGGGUGAGUAACACGUGAGUAACCUGCCCUUAACUCUGGGAUAAGCCUGGGAAACUGGGUCUAAUACCGGAUAGGAGCGUCCACCGCAUGGUGGGUGUUGGAAAGAUUUAUCGGUUUUGGAUGGACUCGCGGCCUAUCAGCUUGUUGGUGAGGUAAUGGCUCACCAAGGCGACGACGGGUAGCCGGCCUGAGAGGGUGACCGGCCAAACUGGGACUGAGAGACGGCCCAGACUCCUACGGGAGGCAGCAGUGGGGAAUAUUGCACAAUGGGCGCAAGCCUGAUGCAGCGACGCCGCGUGAUGGAUGACGGCCUUCGGGUUGUAAACCUCUUUCAGUAGUGAAGAAGCGAAAGUGACGGUACCUGCAGAAGAAGCACCGGCUAACUACGUG
rnacentral:rRNA from 1 species